rnacentral:rRNA from 1 species
UACGUAGGUGGCAAGCGUUGUCCGGAUUUAUUGGGUUUAAAGGGUGCGUAGGUGGUCUAUUAAGUCAGUGCUGAAAUGUCCCGGCUUAACCGGGAGGGUGGCAUUGAUACUGAUAGACUUGAGUAGAGUUGAGGUAGGCGGAAUUGACGGUGUAGCGGUGAAAUGCUUAGAUAUCGUCAAGAACACCAAUAGCGAAGGCAGCUUACUAAGCUCUAACUGACACUGAUGCACGAAAGUGUGGGGAUCAAACAGG